AUCACGAGUGUAUGAGGUCGCCACGGACGUUAAGCUGGGUCCCACAAAAGAUAAAGCCUCCUCCUGAUAUGUAAGAGACCGGCGAACGACCUGAUAGCUCGGUGGUGAGUGCUCUGGCGGUGGCCAGCCCGCCCACUAGGGUUCGAUUCCGUCGGGAGCAACCCGGUGUCGCACGGGGGUAUUUCCCAAAGGGGACCGGACUGGUGUAUAUGUGUGUGGGUGUGUGUGCGCACGUGUGUUGCCCGGUAGGCGUAUUGUGAGACUUUUCUGACAGCUUCAUCUGUGUCUGAACGUGUCGUUAGGUGCUCAUUCAAGUUUUUAAAUGAUUUCCCAGUGCUCUGGGUGUUUAAAAAAAAUAUGUAUGAGACCGGCAAGAGACUUUAGGGUGGGCUCCACACGGGAAAAAAAAAUCACCGCUCACCCGCAAGGCAGAAAGCAGCGCACGUCGCGGCGGAACUUUCCCCAUCUCUUCCGAGCCCCUGCGUAGGUAUCGCUGCAGUUCUCGUCGCCGCCGCCGAUUUGCUUGCUCGCUAGCCGAUUCCACAUCUAUACGCCAUGGAUCUUAAGCCUCUCUCAUCGUAGAGUUUGCAGAUUGGGCUUCCUGCGGGAGCGCCGGAGGGAACCUCCGCCGCCGGCGUUGACUUCUGCGGCCGGCUCCGCCCUCUUCUUCCCCAGCAAGGUCCGUUGUGGGAGGAGCUCACCCACGUUGGAGGCCAUGGGCAUGAUGUCACCUGGACGCUGGGCUUUUCUGGUUCCGGAUCGAAGCAAGGCACCAGCCGACGGGGGCCGCAGGUUGUAUUCCCGCUGACUUCGAGGAGGUCUGUGCGUCCUGGAUUGGACAACCGCUUCCUCAGGGUUGGACCGUCGAGUGGGCCCUGUCUUCCCCGUGAAGUUCGGGCAGGUUGGCAUCACAUCGGUGGGCAGGAUGUGAGGCCCACUUUUAUCGUCGUUCGUAGUACUUAUUGUAUUUUGAACGCUGUUUUAAACUUCCACUGUGUGUUUAAACUCUUUAGUUUUUAUUCAAAACCUUUAUGUAAAACCCUUGUUGUAAAUUAAUUUGAGAAUCUCUGUAUACUUGUA